AGGACUGGCUGCCAGGAGGGAAGGAUCUUUGCUUGAGGACUCUCUUUUUUGGAGUAUUUGGCAAGCUCUUAUCUUUGGGACAGGCUCUGUGUUUCACGUUGCAUUUCUCCAUCGUGGGCACCAGUUGAGCUACAAGAGGUGGUGGUGGGCAGGCACGGAGCAUGGGGACCUCCUGGUCCCAGCAGCCAAGAGAAGGAUGAGCAGCACGGGACGAGGAAGAGGAGAAGUUCUCAAGAUUUCCUGAUGCUAGGACUUAGCUUUGCUUUCAGUGGCUUGCAGUAAGGUGGAAGUGAAGCCUGGCCGCAAGGUGAGAUGCUGAGAAUGAGGUAGAUGUUCCCAAAGCCCCAAAUGAAGAAGGUUAGCAUUUGUCAGCUUUCAGCCAGGUUGCUCUGAGUCCAUCCUACAGCCUACCAAAUCCUUUCUCCCCUGCCUAGCACGUGGUUUUGCUGCUGCUGGUCCAUGCCCUCCCCACCACCCUGUCCUUCUCCAUAAGCAUCCGUGAGCCGUGUCAAAUCCUGCGGUGUCAGCGCUGGACCUGGAGGAUGUGAUGGAAAAAGCCCGGAGCUUAAAACCAUUCUGUUUCCAUCUCCUCCUCCCUCUGUGACACUCUGCAGGUGAGAAACAUGCUGUCCUCAGCCAAACGCCUGCUCUCACGCCUUAUUUGAACAGUUUCCUAAACAUCUCUCUGCAAAGUCCUGUAAUGAAAGGAGUGGUUUCCCUUGGCUCCCUUCCCAGACCUACCCCAACAGAAGGAUGCUGACCUAAGGCUGUUAAACACUUUGAUGUAUGGCCGCGUCUCCUUAAGUAGAAGAUCCAUAUUCUUAAGCUAAGCUGCCAUGACACGGGGACAUUAUGAACUCUCUGAACCAACUGAAUCCUACAAAUGAGCCAUUAGUUGGCAG